AGUGAACGCUGGCGGCGUGCUUAACACAUGCAAGUCGAACGGACUUUAAGGGGCUUGCUUCUUAAAGUUAGUGGCGCACGGGUGAGUAAUGUAUAGCUAACCUGCCCUUUAGUGGGGGACACCAGUUGGAAACGGCUGCUAAUACCCCAUACUCCUUCUUAUCAUAAGGUAAGGUGGGAAGGAUUUAUUGCUGAAGGAUGGGGCUUUAUGGUAUCAGCUAGUUGGUGGGGUAAAGGCCUACCAAGGCUAUGACGCCUACCUGGUCUGAGAGGAUGAUCAGGCACACUGGAACUGAGACACGGUCCAGACUCCUACGGGAGGCAGCAGUGGGGAAUAUUGCACAAUGGAGGAAACUCUGAUGCAGCAACGCCGCGUGGAGGAUGACGCAUUUCGGUGUGUAAACUCCUUUUAUAAGGGAAGAUAAUGACGGUACCUUAUGAAUAAGCACCGGCUAACUCCGUGCCAGCAGCCGCCGUAA
rnacentral:rRNA from 1 species